AUUGAACGCUGGCGGCAGGCUUAACACAUGCAAGUCGAGCGGGGAAUGGUAGCUUGCUACCUGACCUAGCGGCGGACGGGUGAGUAAUGCUUAGGAAUCUGCCUAUUAGUGGGGGACAACAUUCCGAAAGGAAUGCUAAUACCGCAUACGCCCUACGGGGGAAAGCAGGGGAUCUUCGGACCUUGCGCUAAUAGAUGAGCCUAAGUCAGAUUAGCUAGUUGGUGGGGUGAAGGCCUACCAAGGCGACGAUCUGUAGCGGGUCUGAGAGGAUGAUCCGCCACACUGGGACUGAGACACGGCCCAGACUCCUACGGGAGGCAGCAGUGGGGAAUAUUGGACAAUGGGCGCAAGCCUGAUCCAGCCAUGCCGCGUGCGUGAAGAAGGCCUUUUGGUUGUAAAGCACUUUAAGCGAGGAGGAGGCUACUGAGAUUAAUACUCUUGGAUAGUGGACGUUACUCGCAGAAUAAGCACCGGCUAACUCUGUGCCAGCAGCCGCGGUAAUACAGAGGGUGCGAGCGUUAAUCGGAUUUACUGGGCGUAAAGCGUGCGUAGGCGGCUUUUUAAGUCGGAUGUGAAAUCCCUGAGCUUAACUUAGGAAUUGCAUUCGAUACUGGGAAGCUAGAGUAUGGGAGAGGAUGGUAGAAUUCCAGGUGUAGCGGUGAAAUGCGUAGAGAUCUGGAGGAAUACCGAUGGCGAAGGCAGCCAUCUGGCCUAAUACUGACGCUGAGGUACGAAAGCAUGGGGAGCAAACAGGAUUAGAUACCCUGGUAGUCCAUGCCGUAAACGAUGUCUACUAGCCGUUGGGGCCUUUGAGGCUUUAGUGGCGCAGCUAACGCGAUAAGUAGACCGCCUGGGGAGUACGGUCGCAAGACUAAAACUCAAAUGAAUUGACGGGGGCCCGCACAAGCGGUGGAGCAUGUGGUUUAAUUCGAUGCAACGCGAAGAACCUUACCUGGUCUUGACAUAGUAAGAACUUUCCAGAGAUGGAUUGGUGCCUUCGGGAACUUACAUACAGGUGCUGCAUGGCUGUCGUCAGCUCGUGUCGUGAGAUGUUGGGUUAAGUCCCGCAACGAGCGCAACCCUUUUCCUUAUUUGCCAGCGGGUUAAGCCGGGAACUUUAAGGAUACUGCCAGUGACAAACUGGAGGAAGGCGGGGACGACGUCAAGUCAUCAUGGCCCUUACGACCAGGGCUACACACGUGCUACAAUGGUCGGUACAAAGGGUUGCUACCUAGCGAUAGGAUGCUAAUCUCAAAAAGCCGAUCGUAGUCCGGAUUGGAGUCUGCAACUCGACUCCAUGAAGUCGGAAUCGCUAGUAAUCGCGGAUCAGAAUGCCGCGGUGAAUACGUUCCCGGGCCU
rnacentral:rRNA from 1 species